UGGGGAAUUUUGCACAAUGGGGGAAACCCUGAUGCAGCGACGCCGCGUGAUUUAGAAGGCCUUCGGGUUGUAAAAAUCUUUUCUAUGGGAAGAAAAUGACAGUACCAUAGGAAUAAGGACCGGCUAAUUACGUGCCAGCAGCCGCGGUAAUACGUAAGGUCCGAGCGUUGUCCGGAUUUAUUGGGCGUAAAGGGUUCGCAGGCGGAAAUGCAAGUCAGGUGUAAAAGGCAGUAGCUUAACUACUGUAAGCAUUUGAAACUGCAUAUCUUGAGAAGAGUAGAGGUAAGUGGAAUUUUUAGUGUAGCGGUGAAAUGCGUAGAUAUUAAAAAGAAUACCGGUGGCGAAGGCGACUUACUGGGCUCAUUCUGACGCUGAGGAACGAAAGCGUGGGUAGCAAACAGG
rnacentral:rRNA from 1 species